AAUCAUCCAACCAGGUAGUGGAGACACAAGAUCUUCUUGUUUGGGAGGUAGCAGAACACCGUUUGAAGAGUUGAAAAUAGGGAAUGGACCCUCCUCAAAGCCACCAUUUUUAACCAAAUUAUCUGCAACAGACCAAAUUGCUUUGGAGGGUUGAACCGAGCAAUAGCAACAGCAUCCAACAGUGGACCACAUGAAGGAUCUUCUUGAAUUCCAGGGUUAUGGAAAAUCACUUUUGUAACAGAAGAAAUGGCCCUGAAUCCCCAAGCAAUAACAUCACCAUUGAGGCUAUAAAGGGUCUGCAAAGGAACAUCUCCAGAGUGUGGAGGCACUGAGAUCCUUAACAUCUCAUCUUGAGCACAAGUCCUUGAUGCUCGUACAAUUACAGCAUACCAUUUCCCAGGCUUAACCCUCACAGUUUGUGAGAUUGAAGCCUCAUUUCCAAGCCUCACAGCAUGCACUCCAUCACUAACUGGGAAAUACACGCCUCCAGGUUGUGGCCCUCCUGACACAUACUCAACAUGACCAUUGAUCUCCCAUUUUGGAAGAGCAUAUUUCCCAAUGAGUCUAGUUUUCUUGAGGUAUCUGGGGUCUGGUUUCUCCUCAAAGUUACCAUUCUGCAAGUAGACUAUCAGAAAACAGAAAAACAAGCACAAAAUGUUAGUACAUGUGAAAACUAUAAGUUAAAAAGUAGAUUUUGAGUCUAAUUCAACUCCAAAAAACUGACUUUUAAGAUAAGUUUUGCACUCCCUUAUAUAUUCUAAAUUGAUCUUAUCUUUAGUAUGUGUGAAACUUUCAACAACACGUGACAGUAUAAGAAUCAAAGCACAGUUGCACAUAUGAUACAAUUUUGUAAUCAGAGAGCAUUACAUUACCUUCUGGUGACCUGUGUUGAACUGCUGCAAAGGCUGAAGCAGCAGAUAGUAUGGCAACAGAAAGUGUGAAUAUGAAUGUCACUGACAUUCUCAGCACCUAAACAAGCAAAUGUGACUGUGCAAGAAGUGGUGUUGGUAAGGAAGAGAAGAGUUUCAGUGUGCAAGAUCAGAAGAUGGAACUCUACUCCCUUUUAUGGUGUAACAGCAGACCACACAUUGCUAACAAUUCGCCUCUUUCCAUGCUUUUUCAAUCUGUGCAGUGAGUUGCAAGUUUGUUUUGUCAUAUAAAAUAGAAGCUUAAUCAAGUUUUCAAGACACUCCUAAUUUUGAAUAUUUUCUAUUAAUUUAAUUACCUGUUAAAUUUUCUUACUUUACUGAAUACUUAAAUUUUUUAUAUUUUUCAGUUGAA